rnacentral:siRNA from 1 species
UUUAGGGUGAAAAGUUGAGA